UACGUAGGGGGCGAGCGUUGUUCGGAAUUAUUGGGCGUAAAGCGCGUGUAGGCGGUUCGGUAAGGCGGAUGUGAAAUCCCGGGGCUCAACCCCGGGCCGGCAUCCGCGACUGCCGGGCUGGAGUGUGGGAGGGGAGAGCGGAAUUCCUGGUGUAGCGGUGAAAUGCGUAGAUAUCAGGAGGAACACCCAUGGCGAAGGCAGCAAACUGGGCAUCAUCUGACGCUGAGGCGCGAAAGCGUGGGUAGCAAACAGG
rnacentral:rRNA from 1 species